ACUGGAUGGCUCCUCCAUGGCU
rnacentral:miRNA from 1 species